rnacentral:rRNA from 1 species
UGGCGGUGUUUUUAUAUAAUCAGGGGAACCUGUUUCUUAAUUCGAUAAUCCACGAAAUUUCAACCUCUUUAGAAUAUCCAGCUUGUGUACUGCUGUCGCCAGUAAACCUAUGAAAGAUAGUUUACAAUAAAUACAACCUAUUUUACGUCAAGUCAAAGUGCAGCUAAUAAAGAGGAGCUAAUGGGUUACAACCUCAAUAAAGACUACGAAUGAAUAUAAUAAAAAUAUUCUAAAGGAGGACUUGAAAGUAAUAUUUAAAAAAAAUAAAUAUAAAAAUUUCUAAAACAUGUACACAUCGCCCGUCACUCUCAUCUAAAGACG